UACGUAGGGUGCAAGCGUUAAUUGGAAUUACUGGGCGUAAAGCGUGCGCAGGCGGCUUUGCAAGACAGAUGUGAAAUCCCCGGGCUCAACCUGGGAACUGCAUUUGUGACUGCAAGGCUGGAGUACGGCAGAGGGGGAUGGAAUUCCGCGUGUAGCAGUGAAAUGCGUAGAUAUGCGGAGGAACACCGAUGGCGAAGGCAAUCCCCUGGGCCUGUACUGACGCUCAUGCACGAAAGCGUGGGGAGCAAACAGG
rnacentral:rRNA from 1 species